GAUGAACGCUAGCUACAGGCUUAACACAUGCAAGUCGAGGGGUAACGAGAGGAAAGCUUGCUUUCCUUGUCGACGACCGGCGCACGGGUGAGUAACGCGUAUCCAACCUGCCCCCAACUAGGGAAUAACCUUGCGAAAGUAAGACUAAUACCCUAUAAUUUCCUCAGAUGUCAUCUGACGAGGAAUAAAGAUUUAUCGGUUGUGGAUGGGGAUGCGUCUGAUUAGCUUGUUGGCGGGGUAACGGCCCACCAAGGCAACGAUCAGUAGGGGUUCUGAGAGGAAGGUCCCCCACACUGGAACUGAGACACGGUCCAAACUCCUACGGGAGGCAGCAGUGAGGAAUAUUGGUCAAUGGGCGGAAGCCUGAACCAGACAAGUAGCGUGCAGGAUGACGGCCCUAUGGGUUGUAAACUGCUUUUAUACAGGAAUAAAGUUAGCCACGUGUGGUUAUUUGUAGGUACUGUAUGAAUAAGGACCGGCUAAUUCCGUGCCAGCAGCCGCCGUAA
rnacentral:rRNA from 1 species